AGCGUAGACGGAGUGGCAAGUCUGAUGUGAAAACCCGGGGGCUCAACCCCGGGACUGCAUUGGAAACUGUCAAUCUAGAGUACCGGAGAGGUAAGCGGAAUUCCUAGUGUAGCGGUGAAAUGCGUAGAUAUUAGGAGGAACACCAGUGGCGAAGGCGGCUUACUGGACGGUAACUGACGUUGAGGCUCGAAAGCGUGGGGAGCAAACA
rnacentral:rRNA from 1 species